CACUAACUAAAGCUGCGUGCCCUAUAAACGGCAAGUGAGUUUCCCACGUUUGCCCACCUCAUUGUCCUCUUCGUCUCUCUCAAUCUCCAUCCUUUCCCUUUAAUGAAUUAGUAUCAAAAGAUUUGAGAAGCAAAGGUCAAAGGUGAAAUGCUCACCGGAGAUUGUAAAAUAAAUGAAUGAAACCAAGGAACAGCGAAAAUUCAAGAUAGUUACAACCGCAAGUGGCUUAUGAGGGGGCAAUUUGGUGCUCAAUUUGAUGGUAAACAUCAUAUUCAUUUUUCUAUAAAUACGUUGCAGAGUAAUUGAUAUGAGGAUUACAGCUCUUUGGAUCUACUUGAUUAGGAAUUUUUUCAAGUUGCAGGAGUAUUGAUUGAAGAAAGGUUCUAGAAUCAUCUUUAAGAGAAGGGUGAUUGUUGUGAAACAGGAAACUAACAAGAAAGAGAUCAAUGACAAAAUUUAUAGGGGUACCACAUUUCCUCGAAAAUGAAACGAGCUAGCGCAUAAUCUAGCUAAGAUGGAUUUUUUGAAUUCUGCCUUUCCAAGUUGGGUUGUAACUGAUGCACUGGCUUCUUUCACAUAUUGAGACGUAUUAUGAGUUAAUAUGAUGCAACUAUUUGCAUGAUGAUGUAUGUGCUUAGAUUAUUAAUCAUUAGUCAACUCAAUGUUUUAUUGUGCUUUCUUGUGGUCUCUUCUAUGGUUAUUAACAACCAAUAUAACAAGCAAAAUUAUGAUCAUCUUAUCAGCUUAUGUAAGUGUUGUAGCCUGGACAAAAUGAUUCUACCAGUCAUCAUUUGAUAUUUUUCUUCUUGUUUUUUUAAUAUGUAGGUAACAACUUUAUUAGAUGAUUGAAAGUUUCUUGAUAUUUUUUUGGUAGAACGAAACAUGUUGUGUUGGCUACUGUAUUUGGAUCUAGGCUUGAAGCUCAUCAGUGUGGAUCGUACUUUUGCUGGAAAGCACUACAUGGACUUGUCUGCAAAGCCUUUCUUCAAUGGGUUUGUUGAAUACAUUAUUUCUGGUCCUGUUGUUGUGAUGGUAUGGGCGAGCAAGGGUGUAGUUACUACUGGUAGGAAGAUAAUUGGAGCAACAAAUCCAUUGGAGUGUGCUGCUGGUACCAUCCGUGGUGAUUAUGCGAUUGACAUUGGAAGGUAAAACAUUUUACAUCCAUUUUACUGGUUGCGUCUCUAGCAUCCAGUUUCUCUCAAGCCAACGUACCAAUAGUUAGGACUAAUUAUGUGUUCCAAAACACUUAACCCCAAGUUAAAACUUUUUGUAACUUAUCUGUUCAAUCAUGUAACUUAUAAUACACCUAGCACAAAGUUAAGUUGAAAUUGUUUGUGCCAAUUGAGUUCCGAGCUAAGUUUUCUCUGUGACUUUUGUGUCAGCUUCAGUAGAUUACGCUCAUUUUUUCCCAAGAUUCUAAGAUUAAGUAGCUUCAUAGGAAAGGUAAGUCAAGAGUAUGUUUCAUCUGUUACUUCUAUGGAGAUUUAUUCUUUAAAAUUUUCUUCCCCUUUACAUUUUAGUAGCUUCAUUUAAAAAGUACAUGCCUCUUAUUUUCAGAUUUCAUUAUCCUUUCCGCCAACAAAAACAGGUUUCGAACCAAAAAAAGGCCCGUGAAUUAUUUAAUUCAAGAAAAGAGCCGUAACCAGUUUCAAGAUGCAUAAAUAUAAACAUAUGUUGUUGCGAGACUGUGUUCAGAAAGGUGUUUUUUUCUAGAGGCACUUAGGAGCUAAUUAAGAGGGGGUGUCACCUUUUCUGAUAUUGUUGUUGAUAUGUAAAUAGUUGGUACACACAUGUAUGAUAUUUUCAUGGAUGUAAAAUCUAUAUCAGGUGGCAAUUAUAAACAUCCUCUGUUCCAAAGUAUAUGUAAAUACUAUCUUAACAAUAAUGAAUUUCUCUUUUCUGCUA